rnacentral:rRNA from 1 species
AACGAACGCUGGCGGCAUGCCUAACACAUGCAAGUCGAACGAGACCUUCGGGUCUAGUGGCGCACGGGUGCGUAACGCGUGGGAACCUGCCCUUAGGUUCGGAAUAACUCCCCGAAAGGGGUGCUAAUACCGGAUAAUGUCUUCGGACCAAAGAUUUAUCGCCUUUGGAUGGGCCCGCGUUGGAUUAGCUAGUUGGUAGGGUAAAAGCCUACCAAGGCGACGAUCCAUAGCUGGUCUGAGAGGAUGAUCAGCCACACUGGGACUGAGACACGGCCCAGACUCCUACGGGAGGCUGCAGUGGGGAAUAUUGGACAAUGGGCGAAAGCCUGAUCCAGCAAUGCCGCGUGAGUGAUGAAGGCCUUAGGGUUGUAAAGCUCUUUUACCCGGGAUGAUAACGACAGUACCGGGAGAAUAAGCUCCGGCUAACUCCGUG